UACGUAGGUGACAAGCGUUGUUCGGAAUUACUGGGCGUAAAGCGCACGUAGGCGGACAUUUAAGUCAGGGGUGAAAUCCCAGAGCUCAACUCUGGAACUGCCUUUGAUACUGGGUGUCUUGAGUAUGGAAGAGGUGAGUGGAAUUCCGAGUGUAGAGGUGAAAUUCGUAGAUAUUCGGAGGAACACCAGUGGCGAAGGCGGCUCACUGGUCCAUUACUGACGCUGAGGUGCGAAAGCGUGGGGAGCAAACAGG
rnacentral:rRNA from 1 species